UACGUAGGAGGCAAGCGUUGUCCGGAAUUACUGGGUGUAAAGCGCGUGUAGGUGGUGGGCCAAGUCUGUGGUGAAAUCGCCCGGCUCAACUGGGCGAGGUCCGUGGAAACUGGUCGACUGGAGGACGGUAGAGGCGAGUGGAAUUCCCGGUGUAGCGGUGAAAUGCGCAGAUAUCGGGAGGAACACCAGUGGCGAAGGCGGCACUCUGGGCCGGAACUGACGCUGAGGAGCGAAAGCGUGGGGAGCGAACAGG
rnacentral:rRNA from 1 species